GAUGAACGCUGGCGGCGUGCCUAAUACAUGCAAGUCGAGCGAACGGACGAGAAGCUUGCUUCUCUGAUGUUAGCGGCGGACGGGUGAGUAACACGUGGAUAACCUACCUAUAAGACUGGGAUCACUUCGGGAAACCGGAGCUCAUACCGGAUAAUAUUUUGAACCGCAUGGUUCAAGAGUGAAAGACGGUCUUGCUGUCACUUAUAGAUGGAUCCGCGCUGCAUUAGCUAGUUGGUAAGGUAACGGCUUACCAAGGCAACGAUGCAUAGCCGAACUGAGAGGGUGAUCGGCCACACGGGAACGGAGACACGGACCAGACUCCUACGGGAGGCAGCAGUAGGGAAUCUUCCGCAAUGGGGGAAAGCCUGACGGAGCAGCGCCGCGUGAGUGAUGAAGGUCUUCGGAUCGUAAAACUCUGUUAUUAGGGAAGAACAUAUGUGUAAGUAACUGUGCACAUCUUGACGGUACCUAAUCAGAAAGCCACGGCUAACUACGUG
rnacentral:rRNA from 1 species